AUACGGAGGGGGCUAGCGUUGUUCGGAAUUACUGGGCGUAAAGCGCGCGUAGGCGGGCUGGUCAGUUGGGGGUGAAAUCCCAGGGCUCAACCCUGGAACUGCCCUCAAUACUGCCAGUCUUGAGUUCGAGAGAGGUAAGUGGAAUUCCUAGUGUAGAGGUGAAAUUCGUAGAUAUUAGGAAGAACACCAGUGGCGAAGGCGGCUUACUGGCUCGAUACUGACGCUGAGGCGCGAAAGCGUGGGGAGCAAACAGGAUUAGAAACCCCGGUAGUCC
rnacentral:rRNA from 1 species